rnacentral:rRNA from 1 species
CGUAGGGGGCAAGCGUUGUCCGGAAUCAUUGGGCGUAAAGAGCGUGUAGGCGGUCCGGUAAGUCGGUUGUGAAAGUCCAGGGCUCAACCCUGGGAUGCCGACCGAUACUGUCGGACUAGAGUUCGGAAGAGGCGAGUGGAAUUCCCGGUGUAGCGGUGAAAUGCGCAGAUAUCGGGAGGAACACCAAUGGCGAAGGCAGCUCGCUGGGACGUUACUGACGCUGAGACGCGAAAGCGUGGGGAGCAAACAGGAUUAGAUACCCUGGUAGUCCACGCCGUAAACGAUGGGCACUAGGUGUGGCGGGUGUCGACUCCCGCCGUGCCGCAGCUAACGCAUUAAGUGCCCCGCCUGGGGAGUACGGCCGCAAGGCUA